rnacentral:rRNA from 1 species
UGAGCAACCUGCCUUUCANAGGGGGAUAACAGUUGGAAACGACUGCUAAUACCGCAUAACGCUGCGAUGGGGCAUCCCGAUGCAGCCAAAGGAGCAAUCCGCUGGAAGAUGGGCUCGCGGCCGAUUAGCUAGUUGGUGGGGCAACGGCCCACCAAGGCGACGAUCAGUAGCCGGACUGAGAGGUUGGCCGGCCACAUUGGGACUGAGAUACGGCCCAGACUCCUACGGAAGGCAGCAG